rnacentral:rRNA from 1 species
GAUGAACGCUGGCGGCGUGCCUAAUACAUGCAAGUCGAGCGAACAGACGAGGAGCUUGCUCCUCAGACGUUAGCGGCGGACGGGUGAGUAACACGUGGAUAACCUACCUAUAAGACUGGGAUAACUUCGGGAAACCGGAGCUAAUACCGGAUAAUAUAUUGAACCGCAUGGUUCAAUAGUGAAAGACGGUUUUGCUGUCACUUAUAGAUGGAUCCGCGCCGCAUUAGCUAGUUGGUAAGGUAACGGCUUACCAAGGCAACGAUGCGUAGCCGACCUGAGAGGGUGAUCGGCCACACUGGAACUGAGACACGGUCCAGACUCCUACGGGAGGCAGCAGUAGGGAAUCUUCCGCAAUGGGCGAAAGCCUGGCGGAGCAACGCCGCGUGAGUGAUGAAGGUCUUCGGAUCGUAAAACUCUGUUAUUAGGGAAGAACAAAUGUGUAAGUAACUAUGCACGUCUUGACGGUACCUAAUCAGAAAGCCACGGCUAACUACGUG